rnacentral:rRNA from 1 species
GUAGCAUAUAUUAAAGUUGUUGCAGUUAAAAAGCUCGUAGUUGGAUUUCUGGUACGAUGCGCCUAGUCCGCGACGUUUAACGUCUGUGAGUACUGGAGCGCGUCUGCCAUCCUUCUGGGGAACGUUUCUACCCUUCACUGGGCCGGACUCGUGAUCCAGAUCGUUUACUUUGAAAAAAUUAGAGUGUUCAAAGCAGGCCUUUGCUGUGAAUACAUUAGCAUGGAAUAAUGAUCUAGGACUUCGGUUCUAUUUUGUUGGUUUCUAGCACUGAAGUAAUGAUUGAUAGGGAUAGUUGGGGGUGCUAGUAUUGGGCGGCCAGAGGUGAAAUUCUUGGAUUCGCUCAAGACUAACUUAUGCGAAAGCAUUCACCAAGGAUGUCUUCUUUAAUCAAGAACGAAAGUUGGGGGAUCGAAGAGGAUCAGAUACCCUCGUAGUCUCAACCAUAAACUAUGCCAACUAGGGAUCGGUGAACUGUUGCAUUUUCGACUUCAUCGGCACCUUAUGAGAAAUCAAAGUCUUUGGGUUCCGGGGGGAGUAUGGUCGCAAGGCU